rnacentral:rRNA from 1 species
AACGUAGGUGGCGAGCGUUAUCCGGAUUUACUGGGCGUAAAGCGUGUGCAGGCGGGGUGACAAGUGGUGUAUGAAAUCUCCGGGCUAAACCUGGAGGGGUUAUGCCAGACUGUCAUUCUAGAGUGCGAGAGAGGGGCGUGGAAUUCCGGGUGUAGUGGUGAAAUGCGUAGAUAUCGGGAGGAACACCAGUGGCGAAGGCGACUACCUGGCCUGUUCUUGACGCUGAGGCGCGAAAGCUAGGGGAGCAAACGGG